rnacentral:lncRNA from 1 species
AGUUACCUUAUCUGUAUGAUGGUUACAGUGAUAAUUGAUGUCCUCUACAGUGCUGAAGAUUUUAUGGCCACAUGGAGAUACUGUGAGAGGAUAAAGACAGCCCAGCGCUUGGCACCUGGGGUGGAGUCAGUCAAGUGCAGUCUCAUUGUGUCUAGGCCACUUGGGGCACAAUCUUUCAUGACGAUGACAAGCACUCAAGAUGGGAGACCAGUGAGGGGACGCUACCCCUUUCACCUCACGAGUCAGCCACGGCAAGUCACACGAGGUGACACAGCAAGAAAAGUGAGCAAGAAGACACGGGUAUGUGAGUAAGCAGGACGCCAGGAGAUGGACAAUAAUCGGCUGAGCAGGAAUAAACAGGAGCAGGUGGGGCUCGUGGGAGGGCUAGGUUUGCGGGGGUUGGGA